rnacentral:misc_RNA from 1 species
GUACUCUCACUCUCCCGAUACUUUUGGAUCGGGAGUGGUGGACUUGGGUGCUGCUGCUUGACUGUGGCUCGCCUUAAAUGAAGUAGUGCAACUCUCGGUUGGACAUAGUACGGCGUGAUAAGUGUCUUCGCCGGCGCCUCAUUCGAGGGUGGCCGAUCGGGAGCUCUGUGCUUCCAACUGUCUUCGGACAACAUCUGACA